GACAGAGGUGCCGAGCGUUAGGCGGAAUCACUGGGCUUAAAGCGUGUGUAGGCGGGCGAUCAAGUACCUUGCGAAAUCCCACGGCUCAACCGUGGAACCGCUGGGUAUACUGGUUGUCUUGAGCCGGCUAGGGGCGAGCGGAACAGACGGUGGAGCGGUGAAAUGCGUAGAUAUCGUCUGGAACGCCGAAGGUGAAAACAGCUCGCUGGGGCCGCGCUGACGCUGAGACACGAAAGCCAGGGGAGCGAACGGG
rnacentral:rRNA from 1 species